AUCCUUAUGCACGGGAAAUACGCAUAUCAGUGAGGAUUCGUCCGAGAUUGUGUUUUUGCUGGUUGAAAUUUAAUUAUAAACCAGACCGUCUCCUCAUGGUCGCUUAUCGGUGUUCGCUUUUGAAUACUUCAAGACUAUGUAGGGAAUUUUUGGAAUUUUUUUCUUAUUUAUCGAUAUUUAAACUUUCAAAA
rnacentral:snRNA from 24 species